UACGUAGGGGGCUAGCGUUGUCCGGAUUUACUGGGCGUAAAGAGCGUGUAGGCGGCCAUGUAGGUCCGUUGUGAAAACUCGAGGCUCAACCUCGAGACGCCGAUGGAAACCAUGUGGCUAGAGUCCGGAAGAGGAGAGUGGAAUUCCUGGUGUAGCGGUGAAAUGCGCAGAUAUCAGGAAGAACACCCGUGGCUAAGGCGGCUCUCUAGUACGGUACUGACGCUGAGACGCGAAAGCGUGGGGAGCGAACAGG
rnacentral:rRNA from 1 species